GGAGGAAAGUCAACUUUGCAUGGAACAUAGUGCAAUCCAUUUGUAGAUUCAGUACCAUAACAAUUCCAUUUCCAACUAGUUCAUCUGGAGGUAGGGAGGCUCCACUGGAAAAAUAAAUAUUUUUGUCAAAAAAAGAAAAAUCGGAAUAUAUUGAGGGGAAGUAAUAAAGGUUCUUGUUCCACUGUAGUGAGCACUGUCAGUAAACAGCCUCCACCACCCCACUCCUACCAGGCCACUUCUUUGCAUCUCAAACCAUGGCCUGGCUUCACCUGCACCCACAGA
rnacentral:lncRNA from 10 species